UGGGAAUUUUGGACAAUGGGCGCAAGCCUGAUCCAGCCAUGCCGCGUGCGGGAAGAAGGCCUUCGGGUUGUAAACCGCUUUUGUCAGGGAAGAAAUCUUCUGAGUUAAUACCUCGGGAGGAUGACGGUACCUGAAGAAUAAGCACCGGCUAACUACGUGCCAGCAGCCGCGGUAAUACGUAGGGUGCAAGCGUUAAUCGGAAUUACUGGGCGUAAAGCGUGCGCAGGCGGUUUUGUAAGACAGAGGUGAAAUCCCCGGGCUCAACCUGGGAACUGCCUUUGUGACUGCAAGGCUUGAGUGCGGCAGAGGGGGAUGGAAUUCCGCGUGUAGCAGUGAAAUGCGUAGAUAUGCGGAGGAACACCGAUGGCGAAGGCAAUCCCCUGGGCCUGCACUGACGCUCAUGCACGAAAGCGUGGGGAGCAAACAGGAUUAGAUAGCCCUGGUAGUCCACGCCCUAAACGAUGUCAACUGGUUGUUGGGAAGGUUCCUUCUCAGUAACGUAGCUAACGCGUGAAGUUGACCGCCUGGGGAGUACGGCCGCAAGGUUGAAACUCAAAUGAAUUGACGGGGGCUGCAUAGUCCAUG
rnacentral:rRNA from 1 species